CACCGCCCGUCACAUCACGAAAGUGGGCUGUACUAGAAGCCGGUGAGCUAACCGCAAGGAAGCAGCCGUCCAAGGUAUAACUCAUGAUUGGGGUG
rnacentral:rRNA from 1 species